rnacentral:pre_miRNA from 1 species
CCCACACCCAUGUGUGUAGGAUUCAAAGGAUCACCUUUAAAUUUGGCACAUAUCUCUAGAAAAGUUAUCACAUGGGUGUGGGACUUGACUGUUGUAGAGAUCUGUGCCAAAUUUAAUGGUGAUCUUUUGGGGUCCUACGCACAUGGGUGUGGG